AGUGAACGCUGGCGGUAGGCCUAAUACAUGCAAGUCGAACGGCAGCACAGUAAGAGCUUGCUCUUACGGGUGGCGAGUGGCGGACGGGUGAGGAAUACAUCGGAAUCUACUUUGUCGGGGGGGAUAACGGAGGGAAACUUCUGCUAAUACCGAAUACGACCUACGGGUGAAAGCAGGGGAUCUUGGGACCUUGCGCGAUUGAAUGAGACGAUGUCGGAUUAGCUAGUUGGCGGGGUAAAGGCCCACCAAGGCGACGAUCCGUAGCUGGUCUGAGAGGAUGAUCAGCCACACUGGAACUGAGACACGGUCCAGACUCCUACGGGAGGCAGCAGUGGGGAAUAUUGGGCAAUGGGCGCAAGCCUGAUCCAGCCAUACCGCGUGAGUGAAGAAGGCCUUCGGGUUGUAAAGCCCUUUUGUUGGGAAAGAAAAGCAGCAGGUUAAUACCCCGCUGUUCUGACGGUACCCAAAGAAUAAGCACCGGCUAACUUCGUG
rnacentral:rRNA from 1 species